GAUGAACGCUGGCGGCGUGCCUAAUACAUGCAAGUCGAGCGAACGGACGAGAAGCUUGCUUCUCUGAUGUUAGCGGCGGACGGGUGAGUAACACGUGGAUAACCUACCUAUAAGACUGGGAUAACUUCGGGAAACCGUAGCUAAUACCGGAUAAUAUUUUGAACCGCAUGGUUCAAAAGUGAAAGACGGUCUUGCUGUCACUUAUAGAUGGAUCCGCGCUGCAUUAGCUAGUUGGUAAGGUAACGGCUUACCAAGGCAACGAUGCAUAGCCGACCUGAGAGGGUGAUCGGCCACACUGGAACUGAGACACGGUCCAGACUCCUACGGGAGGCAGCAGUAGGGAAUCUUCCGCAAUGGGCGAAGGCCUGACGGAGCAACGCCGCGUGAGUGAUGAAGGUCUUCGGAUCGUAAAACUCUGUUAUUAGGGAAGAACAUAUGUGUAAGUAACUGUGCACAUCUUGACGGUACCUAAUCAGAAAGCCACGGCUAACUACGUG
rnacentral:rRNA from 1 species